GAGAUGACACGAGAAGGUGUUAUCUUGCUAAAGAUACAGCACCCCCUCCACACCCAAAUUUAGCAUUCAGUUCCCCUCUCCCAACUCCUGCCUGAAGAAGCUUGUCUUUAAUAUUUCAAUUCUGAUGUUAAUUUUUAAAGAGGGAAGUUUUCCUGAUAAAUUUUUCAGAGGGGCCAUUGCGGUGGGGCUGGGAGGCUCUGGGUUGCCGUGGCAACACACCAGACCUCUGCAGGAUGGCCACCCUCCUAAGUCUGGGCUCUUAUUGACUGAGAAAGGUUGGAAAGAUGGGGGCCCUGGAGCCAGAGACUGCUGAACCUGCUGACUGUUUUCCUGGGGAGGUCAGCCUCCAUAGGAACCGAGAGUAUGGACAGCUGGGUUAGAGAGCUGGAGGAAUGCCACUUUGGCCCAAGAGACAUAGAGGUCAACCUUCUCCAUGUGCCAUCCCCAUGCCUCUCCUCCUGCUUUUUCAGAGGGACCUGGUGCACAAGUGAGGCCCUCCGACCAAGGAGUAAGGUGCCAGGCAGCCCACAUCCCAGCUUCCUUGCUCCCCCUGGCCGAGGACUCAGGAGUCUGUGCAUCUAGCCCCUUCUUCAGGUCAUCUCUCCCCCUCCCCUCUCCUACCUCCCACCCUAUGAGAACAAAGUGGAAUCUGACUGUAGCCCCUUCCUUCCCCUUCACUUCCCAAGGACCAUUAAUCUAUCCCCCUCCUGCCCCCCUCCCACCACCCUGAGUGAUGGCCCAUCUAUUAUGCAUGUUCUCUUCCUGCUCUCUUCCAUCUCCAGUCCUCCCCCUCUUUCCACCACAUCCCCCCCACUCCCCUAUUAGGGCUUUUAACCAAAUACAUUAGCCAGGGACAGAUGCCAGACUGACAGAUGUCUGUAAUGGUAGUCUUCCAUUUUUCACUUCCCCUUCCCCCUCCCUCAACAUAUAUCCCCCUCUGCCCUCCUUCCCCCUUCUAAAAAAAAAAUCCCAGGCUUGAGCAAUAUCCUCCAAGUCCUUCUUCAAGUUUGUAUUUCUGUAGAGCUGGACCCACCCAAUGCCUUCCAUAAGGCUUUGGCCCCCUCCCUUUCAGGGUCUGCUACCUGGCCUCCUCCCCCAAAGCUUCAAGAUUGCAGAGAACUCCAAAUGAAUAUUCCAUUUUGAUGGUUAUUAUUCACACAAUAUUAAUUAAAUAUUAAUUACAAUUAA